CGGGUUGAUGAACGGGUCGGGCCCGAAAGGCGAUGGGCAAGUUGACACACGGCGGCAGCGGCAGCGGCAGCUCUCAUGCGACGCCACUUGUCAAGAAGGAUUCCGCUCUUGCUUUUGCUCCCCCUUCUUGUAUGCCCCAGUAGCAGGUGGGAGGAGCUGGCUACGUGACGUAAGCGGAACAAGACGCAUGCAUCGUUUUGGAAUGCUGGAGGUCGUCGGAAACAUCCACAAUUCAAAUACAAAGCACAAGAAAUCUGCACCAUACUGCUUGGAUGGGGGGCGGGCUGGCCGGAAGAGUCACGGGGAGAAGAGAUUGAAGCUCGGAAGGACGGGGUGGGGGGGGGGGGGGGGUAGGCGGCGAAAGGGCCAAAUGAGAAAAGGCAAGGCAGCCGGAAAGAGCGGAGCGAGAAGAGUGAAGCUCUUCGGCGGCGGUAAUUUGAUUUCACGCGGCUCACCGUGUUCCGCCGUUGGGCGGAAAGGUCAUCAUGGCGGCCGUCUACCAAGCGUUAUUACACCGCCCGAGAGCAAAGUGAUGUGUUCGGGCUGGAUGAUCGCAUCUCCACGGCACUUGGCCACAGUCAAUUUCCACCUCUGUUAUUCAUUUGUCAUUUGGAGGGG